rnacentral:rRNA from 1 species
UACGAACUGCGCGAACGUUAUUCGGAAUCACUGGGCUUAAAGGGUGUGUAGGCGGCCGAAUAAGUAGGGUGUGAAAUCUCUCGGCUCAACCGAGGAACUGCGCUCUAAACUGUUCAGCUUGAGUAAGAUAGGGGUGUGCGGAACUUCCAGUGGAGCGGUGAAAUGUGUUGAUAUUGGAAGGAACGCCGGUGGCGAAAGCGGCACACUGGGUCUUAACUGACGCUGAGACACGAAAGCCAGGGUAGCAAACGGG